CACGUAGGGCGCGAGCGUUGUCCGGAAUUAUUGGGCGUAAAGAGCUCGUAGGCGGUCUGUCGCGUCGGCUGUGAAAACCCGGGGCUCAACCCCGGGCCUGCAGUCGAUACGGGCAGACUAGAGUGCGGUAGGGGAGACUGGAAUUCCUGGUGUAGCGGUGAAAUGCGCAGAUAUCAGGAGGAACACCGGUGGCGAAGGCGGGUCUCUGGGCCGUAACUGACGCUGAGGAGCGAAAGCGUGGGGAGCGAACAGG
rnacentral:rRNA from 1 species